CAUCACAAACCAUUUCUAUUAGACUCGUUGAAAAGGAUGUUAACCAUCAGGACUGGAAUACACAGAACUACCGAGUUACACUCUUCAGAAACCAGACAUCAUUUUCAUAUCUCGUGACACCAAUCUUCCCUUCCGAUUAUGGUCCUCGGAAGUUCAUGAGCACUUGGUGGUUUGUUUUCCAUCAUCACAUUAGCUUCUAAUUUACAAUAACUAUACACGUAAGAAAAACGUAAAAUCUAGUAUUUUAAAGUGCACACCACCUUCGGCGACGCCACAAAGAAUAGAUGAAUCGUCAGAACACAGAUUGGAAGCCCCAGCGAGCAUCCUCCCUAUGAAAGUCUCCACGUACCGACCGAGCUUAGAGAACGUUCAGGAAGACGGCGAUCGUCGAGUGUUAGUACACAACAAUAUAGAGCCACAGAUCGGAUCCUUCACUGUGAAAGAAGGCAGACCGUGUCGGCAUCGAAGCUUUUUUAAAUAGAACCUAAACGAGAGGAAUCAUAGGUACUCCGAUUCUCACCGGAGAUCAUGCGUUCUACGAGAGCAUUCUGCUCAGACGCUCUCAACAAAUACGAAGGCCGACCAACCGGAACACGCACGCUACGCCGGCGAUGGCGGCUACAGCCACUCAGUGGAAUGACGGGGACGACGCCUCGCAACCAGAAGAAAUUCUGAAUACACACCUUGUUACUGUGGGCACCAUAGCGAGCCGAGUGGCCAUGAAAGAAGAGGCGAGCACUGGCUUUCUGAGAUGCCUUUUUUCUCUUCAGAUCCUUCCCCGCCGCCGCCGCCGGGAACACCGGGCGAGAAAAUAAGAUCGCCGGAAGCGACGACAACGUACUUACGACGGGGCCGGAGCCGGCGGGGGAGUGAACCCCCUCCUCCGCCUCCGACGCCGCCGAUCUCGGAGGGAUCUAGGGUUUUAGUUCCUCGCCCUCUCGCUCCAAUGAUAUUUAUA
rnacentral:lncRNA from 1 species